rnacentral:rRNA from 1 species
UUUAUUGGAGAGUUUGAUCCUGGCUCAGGAUGAACGCUGGCGGCGUGCCUAAUACAUGCAAGUCGAGCGAAUGGAUUAAGAGCUUGCUCUUAUGAAGUUAGCGGCGGACGGGUGAGUAACACGUGGGUAACCUGCCCAUAAGACUGGGAUAACUCCGGGAAACCGGGGCUAAUACCGGAUAAUAUUUUGAACUGCAUGGUUCGAAAUUGAAAGGCGGCUUCGGCUGUCACUUAUGGAUGGACCCGCGUCGCAUUAGCUAGUUGGUGAGGUAACGGCUCACCAA